UUAUCUUCCGGUUCAGCUAGGCGUACGUAACGACGUAGAUUGUGUAGUAAAUCGUCAACCCCAUCAUCCACCUGACAAGCCAAACUAGCUUUUCUUGGUAGACUGUUUGUCUUUAUUCAAUUUAUAUAUUAAUGGACAGCCCCAGCCCACCCUCACCGUUGAGCAUGCCAGAUGUAAGAACAGUUGUCACAUACUUUUGUCUUAUUACUAAUGCCCAGUAGUGGAACAGAUCUCUUCAAACUGCUUGUGAUGCAGUGGUGCUGAGUGUGAUCAUCCAAGUCUUCUCUGUGCCAGAGAAUUUAGUGUGGAUGGAGGAGGCACGGGAGUCGCCUACAACAUGGGGAAGAUUCGAUAGCUGGUGCUCCCCAUGGCCACCCAGAUCCAACAGGUCAUCAAGGCUUAUGGCUUCAACAACGAGGGAGAGGGGGAAGUCACUUUGUGAAACCAGUUCCAUACAGAAUGAAGGGGUAGAGAGAGACAAAUCUAUUGUCACUUGUCAGUGGCAUUGUUUUGUGUGAAGACUGAAUGCUAUCUUUUUGCGUCAUGUUCAGUUUGACCUAUACUGAACAACAAUAUAAAUGCAGCAAUUUCUAAGAUUUGACUUAGUUAAUAUAAGGAAAUCAGUCAAUUAAAAUACAUUCAUAAGGCCCUAAUCUAUGAAUUUCAUAUGUUGGUCAUAAAUAUCUUUUAAAAAAUGGUAGGGGUCGUGGAUCAGAAAACCAGUAAAUAUCUGGUGUGACCACCAUUUGUGUCAUGCAGCUCGACACCUCCUUCACCUUGAGUUGAUAAGGCUGUUGAUUGUGGCCUGUGAAAUGUUGGCCCACUUCUCUUCAAUGGCUGUGCGAACUUCCGGGGUAUUAGCGGGAACACACUAACACGUCAAUCCAGAGUAUUCAAAACAUGCUCAAUGGGUGACAUGUUUGAGUAUGCGCUGGUGGAAAUUCCUGCAGUCAGCAUGCCAAUUGCCCUCAAUUUAUGGCAUUGUGUUGUGUGACAACUGCUCAUUUUAGAGUGUGCUUUUGUCCCCAGCACAAGGUGCACCUGGGUAUUGAUGCCAUUUAAUCUGCUUCUUGAUAUGCCACACCUGUCAGGUGGAUGGAUUAUCUUGGCAAAGGAGAAAUGCUCACUAAGAGGGAUGUAAAAUGUGCACAUACUGAGAGAAAUAAGCUUUUUGUGCGUAUGGAACAUUUCUGGGAUCUUUUAUUUCAGCUCAUGAAACCAACACUUUCAUGUUGCAUUUAUAUAUUUGUUCCGUGUAUUUGUGAAAUCAUGGUGGUCAAUCAUAGUAGUCAUUGCUUGUUUUAGCUAUUUUUCAGGUGUUCUUAAAUUUGCCCGUCUGGUGAAGAUGUAUGAAACUCAGGAUCCAGAGAUAGCAGCCAUAUCAGUCAAACUGGGGUCUCUUCUCCUGCCUCCUCUGUCCACUCCACCCAUUGGUGGUGCAAUCCCAGCCUCCUCGCAAACUAUUUUAUUGUGGACUGCCUUGUUUUUCCAGAAGGGACAUCUACAAAAUGUUACUGUACUUUCAUCAAGUACGUGCAAACCUGGAAUUCAGCUCAUGAUAUUUUCAUUCAGUCUUAGGUGAGAGUGAAUAGGUUACCUUAUUUCUAAUGUCCUGAGAUAAUACACACAAAGCACAUCUUUAUUGGUUGAAAUGAAAACACUGUCAGAAACACAAGCACUGACCAUGGUUUUGGUUUUGACUUGUCAUUUAUAUCAUUAAUUGCUGUUUGAGAGGACAAUGAUUUUUUGGGUAUAAAACAUUUUAUACUGCUAUUGUAUAAAAUGUCAAUCUCAGUUGUCACAGCUAGAUACAUUGUAUUAAUAUAAAACUCAAAUUUGACAUUUUUUUAAUUAAAGAAAACAGCAACACAAACAGAUUAAAACAACCUUUAUUAUGGCAGUAAUG